GUACACGCUGUGACUAGCAUAUCAAUAAGCGGAGGAAAAGAAACUAACAAGGAUUCCCUUAGUAACGGCGAGUGAAGCGGGAAGAGCUCAAAUUUGAAAUCUUGAAAGGUCACCUUUCACGAAUUGUAGUUUAAAGAAGUGUUUUCUGUUACGAGUCGUAAUAUAAGUUCUUUGGAAUAGGACAUCACAGAGGGUGAGAAUCCCGUCUAUGAUUGCGAUUUGUAGCUUUGUGAUACACUUUCAAAGAGUUGGGUUGUUUGGGAAUGCAGCCCAAAACGGGAGGUAAAUUUCAUCUAAGGCUAAAUAUUGGCGAGAGACCGAUAGCGAACAAGUACCGUGAGGGAAAGAUGAAAAGAACUUUGAAAAGAGAGUUAAAUAGUACGUGAAAUUGUCAAAAGGGAAGCGUUUAACACCAGUGUUGUUUUCUGAAAAUCAACCUCUGUUAGCUUUAUGCAUGUUUGUUUAGACCUAAUCAGCUAUCUUUCAUGUUCUAUUGUUUGCAGUGGUGCACUUUUCAGUUUACAGGUCAACAUCAGUUUUUUUUACCGUAAAAAAGUUAAAGAAAGGUAGCUCAUGGCUCCGGUCGUGAGUGUUAUAGUCUUUUUCCUAUGCGGUAGGAGAGACUGAGGUCUGCAGUGUAGGCUAUUUGGCUAGAUACUCAGGUGCUAUGUGAUACCAUUUCAUAAACAACUUGUUGAUUAUGUUUUGUCUAUUGCAUACUCGCUUGUACUAUCAUACCUACGCUUAGGAUGUUGAGUAGCGACAUACGCAC
rnacentral:rRNA from 1 species